rnacentral:rRNA from 1 species
GAUGAACGCUGGCGGCGUGCCUAAUACAUGCAAGUCGAGCGAACAGACGAGGAGCUUGCUCCUCUGACGUUAGCGGCGGACGGGUGAGUAACACGUGGAUAACCUACCUAUAAGACUGGGAUAACUUCGGGAAACCGGAGCUAAUACCGGAUAAUAUAUUGAACCGCAUGGUUCAAUAGUGAAAGACGGUUUUGCUGUCACUUAUAGAUGGAUCCGCGCCGCAUUAGCGAGUUGGUAAGGUAACGGCUUACCAAGGCAACGAUGCGUAGCCGACCUGAGAGGGUGAUCGGCCACACUGGAACUGAGACACGGUCCAGACUCCUACGGUAGGCAGCAGUAGGGAAUCUUCCGCGAUGGGCGAAAGCCGGACGGAGCAACGCCGCGUGAGUGAUGAAGGUCUUCGGAUCGUAAAACUCUGUUAUUAGGGAAGAACAAAUGUGUAAGUAACUAUGCACGUCUUGACGGUACCUAAUCAGAAAGCCACGGCUAACUACGUG